rnacentral:tRNA from 1 species
GCAUAAGUGGUCUAGUGGUAGAAUAAUACUCUGCCACGAUACAAAUCCAGGUUCGAUUCCCGGUUGGUGCA